CUUGACAUCCAGAGAACUUGGCAGAGAUGCCUCGGUGCCUUCGGGAACUCUGAGACAGGUGCUGCAUGGCUGUCGUCAGCUCGUGUUGUGAAAUGUUGGGUUAAGUCCGCAACGAGCGCAACCCCUAUCCUUUGUUGCCAGCGAUUCGGUCGGGAACUCAAAGGAGACUGCCGGUGAUAAACCGGAGGAAGGUGGGGAUGACGUCAAGUCAUCAUGGCCCUUACGAGUAGGGCUACACACGUGCUACAAUGGCGUAUACAAAGAGAAGCGACCUCGCGAGAGCAAGCGGACCUCAUAAAGUACGUCGUAGUCCGGAUUGGAGUCUGCAACUCGACUCCAUGAAGUCGGAAUCGCUAGUAAUCGUAGAUCAGAAUGCUACGGUGAAUACGUUCCCGGGCCUUGUACACACCGCCCGUCACACCAUGGGAGUGGGUUGCAAAAGAAGUAGAUAGCUUAACCUUCGGGAGGGCGUUUACCACUUUGUGAUUCAUGACUGGGGUGAAGUCGUAACAAGGUAGGCGUAGCGAG
rnacentral:rRNA from 1 species